CCUACGGGAGGCAGCAGUAGGGAAUAUUGCUCAAUGGGGGAAACCCCGAAGCAGCAACGCCGCGUGGAGGAUGAAGGUUUUCGGAUUUUAAACUCCUUUUUAUAGAGAAGAUACUGACGGUAUCUAACGGAUAAGCACCGUCUAACUCCGUUCCAGCAGCCGCGGUAAUACGGAGGGUGCAAGCGUUACUCGGAAUCACUGGGCGUAAAGGGCGCGUAGGCGGGAUAGCAAGUCAGAUGUGAAAUCCUAUGGCUUAACCAUAGAACUGCAUUUGAAACUGUUGUUCUAGAGUAUGGGAGAGGUAGGUGGAAUUCUUGGUGUAGGGGUAAAAUCCGUAGAGAUCAAGAGGAAUACUCAUUGCGAAGGCGACCUGCUAGAACAUAACUGACGCUGAUGCGCGAAAGCGUGGGGAGCAAACAGGAUUAGAUACCCCAGUAGUC
rnacentral:rRNA from 1 species